ensembl:lncRNA
UUUGUCUUCAAAGAGCUAUCUGGAAAGGAUUAUGAAUCCAGCAGCAGCGCCGGCCACCGAAUGCGCUCAGACAUCUCAGCUGAACUCAUGGGGGAAGAGCUAUUUGGAAGGGACACCUGGUGACCGCAGUGGCCAUGGGGCCACCAGCCAGCCUGCUCUCCUGGGUGAUGCAGCCGACUGCAGCAGAACAACAUGAACAUGCUGUCAGAUGCCUUGCAUCUGUGUACUCUCAUUCCUGCUCUAUUGUGCAACUAUUCCACUCCAGUCUCAGCUGAGGCUUCAAGUGGGAAUAACCCAAAAUACCACAACAACAGCUGUUUUGUUGGAUUUUAUGGAGCUGAAACCCAGGAGUCCUGGAAAUCUUCAAAUAAAGCUUUUUCCCAUAAAAGAAACUUCCAGAUGCAUAAGCCUGAGUGUUUGUGAGCAGCUCAUGUCUGUGUAGUAAGCUUGCAUUUUUUAUGUCUUCCCCUUGUCAUUUCAUUUAUAAUAAAUGUGUAAUAACUUGC